rnacentral:rRNA from 1 species
CAGCCGCCGCGGGAAUACGGAGGGUGCAAGCGUUAUCCGGAAUCAUUGGGUUUAAAGGGUCCGUAGGCGGUCUUGUAAGUCAGUGGUGAAAGCCCAUCGCUCAACGGUGGAACGGCCAUUGAUACUGCAGGACUUGAAUUAUUGGGAAGUAACUAGAAUAUGUAGUGUAGCGGUGAAAUGCUUAGAGAUUACAUGGAAUACCAAUUGCGAAGGCAGGUUACUACCAAUUGAUUGACGCUGAUGGACGAAAGCGUGGGUAGCGAACAGGAUUAGAUACCCCUGUAGUCCCUGUCUCUUAUAC